GAUGAACGCUGGCGGCGUGCCUAAUACAUGCAAGUCGAGCGAACAGACGAGGAGCUUGCUCCUCUGACGUUAGCGGCGGACGGGUGAGUAACACGUGGAUAACCUACCUAUAAGACUGGGAUAACUUCGGGAAACCGGAGCUAAUACCGGAUAAUAUAUUGAACCGCAUGGUUCAAUAGUGAAAGACGGUUUUGCUGUCACUUAUAGAUGGAUCCGCGCCGCAUUAGCUAGUUGGUAAGGUAACGGCUUACCAAGGCGACGAUGCGUAGCCGACCUGAGAGGGUGAUCGGCCACCCUGGAACUGGGACACGGUCCAGACUCCUACGGGAGGCAGCAGUAGGGAAUCUUCCGCAAUGGGCGAAAGCCUGACGGAGCAACGCCGCGUGAGUGAAGAGAGUCUUCGGAUCGUAAAACUCUGUUAUUAGGGAAGAACAAAUGUGUAAGUAACUAAGCACGUCUUGACGGUACCUAAUCAGAAAGCCACGGCUAACUACGUG
rnacentral:rRNA from 1 species